GUACCAAAAACCGACGGCCGGUUCUGCCGGUCUCACUCUUGGUGACUCUGAAUAAAGUAGCGGAUCGCACGGCCUUGCGCCGGCGACGGACCAUUCAAGUGUCUGCCCUAUCAGCUUUCGAUGGUAAGUGACCUGCUUACCAUGGCUUUCACGGGUAACGGGGAAUCUGGGUUCGAUUCCGGAGAGGGAGCAUGAGAAACGGCUACCACUUCCAAGGAAGGCAGCAGGCGCGCAAAUUACCCAAUCCCGACACGGGGAGGUAGUGACGAAAAAUAACAAUGCCGCCCUCUGCGAGGGAGGUAAUUGGAAUGAGCACAAUUUACAAACCUUAGCGAGGAUCUAUUGGAGGGCAAGUCUGGUGCCAGCAGCCGCGGUAAUUCCAGCUCCAAUAGCGUAUAUUAAAGUUGUUGCAGUUAAAAAGCUCGUAGUUGGACCUCAGGAGCGAGAGGCGCGGCUGGGCGCGGCCUUCGCGCAAGCGGGGUCGUCGUUCCGGCCAGCCUGAAUCGUUCCCUCCGCAGGCUCUCCGGUCGUGCUAUUAGCUUAGUGCGGCCGGCAGGUCUGCCGCUUACUUUGAAG
rnacentral:rRNA from 1 species